UAUUUUUACUAUAUGUGUCGCUAAUACGUUUGAUUCUUUCUUUUGAGAAUGUACCCUUCGAAUCUGUACAUUUAUUUACAUAUUUUGAUAGCAAUAGCCCAUGCCUUCCUUGUAGCAUGUAGCUUGUUAGCUACUGUUACUCAAUCCAUAAAGUUAGUUAGCCAGCGAGCUAAUUAGCUAGCUAGCUAAUUUAGUUCUGCAUUGAGUAACACUAGCUAACAUUACAGUAACUAACGUUACAUUGCCCACCUGUUCUUCUAUUAAACAGCAUUAACAUAUAUAUAUAUAUUAACAAAGAGCCCCUAUGAUAGGGGCACAUAAAAAACUUCUGGUGGCUAUUUUAGAAAGUUAGGAGUUGUUUCCAAAAUAAACUACAACGUUAACCAAUAACUAACAACUUCAAAGAGCCAAGUGGGUGAGGAGAAAAUUGGUCAUUGUGAGAAGGGUAUGCUGGAUCUGACCCUGGCUGCAACCAGACAUGCCAGUGUGAAAUCCAGUUGAAAGCAACACCCAAGUAAGAAUCAGAAACAGGUUGACGAGUAUGAGAAGGUCUGGCAGAGUGGCAGGCAGGGGACUGCGCCCAGACAUGGCGGACCACAGAAACAAGAUCCGACAAGCCACCGAGCGGGGGAGGAAGGCUACCGGGAUCCUUCUGAGGAAAUGAAACGUGGUCAGUUAAUCUGCGGCUCGGAAAAGGACAACAGCCAAUGCGGCGUGUUCGUGCUGCCCCCCUGCUGGGCGGCCCGUGAGCCCGUCGAUAUGGUGGUUUGAUGUUGGAUGGAAAAUAAGAACCCCCCCCCCCCCCCCCCCCCACCCCCCACAACAAACAGAGAGGGCUGGAACAGAGACACCGGAACAGAGAAAGAGAGGGUAGAAAGGGAAGAACCAUCGACAGAUGGACUCUGUUGUGAUUAAAGAUGGCGGCAGUCUUCGCUGCAGACUACGAAGGACAAUUCCCGAUCCACAGAAAAGCGGCGGGAGUAGACCGCGAUCCAACACAACGAAACCAAAAAGCCAAGCAGUGCCAUAAUGGUUUUGUUUCGUCCUCCGUCUCGUCAAAACCAAAGCACGUCAUUUGAUUUGACCGGUGAAUGUGCAUCCCACGACCGGACGACCGAAGACCCCCGACAGACUAAACGCUUAAAUUCAUUUGAAGUUUUACCGUCCGUCUUUCGCCAUCUGAUACACGGUCACGGAUGUAUGUCUUUGUGUCGUAUCACCGUAGGAAUUAUGUGCCUCUUUGUCCCCCCUUGUGGGAAUAUAGUGCUCUGUGAGCUAUAAUAUCCAGCAAAAUAAACUCUCGUCUGAAAAUGGCUCAAUCCUCUGUUCGUAAUCCAGUCCAAGGCUUGUUAGUCAUGAUUUAUUCGGCCAGGACAAAGGACAUCAGCAGGACUCCAGACUGCAUUUUCUGACUGUCUUUUGAUAUUACUCUUUCAUUUAAACUUAAAACAGACAGCAAAUCACUUUGAUAUGCCUGAUAUAUAUAUAUAUACAUAAACGCUUCAUGUGUUUUUUCCAUUUUUGGUUUUGGGGCUUUAAAAGAAGUCUCGUCAAUGGUUCUUUUGUUUUUUGUAACUUGUAUCACUCUUUGAAGACUAAAAACUAUAAAAAUCUCCAUUGUGUGCACUCCGAAUGGGAGCAUUCAGUUA
ensembl:lncRNA